UACGUACUCGCUCCGUUCCGAAUUACUUGUCGCAGGUAUUGAUGUAUCUAGAUGUAUUUUAGUUUUAGAUACAUCCAUUUUUACGACGAAUAGUUUGGAACGAAGGGAGUGUUAG
rnacentral:pre_miRNA from 1 species